CCUACGGGAGGCAGCAGUGAGGAAUAUUGGUCAAUGGGCGCGAGCCUGAACCAGCCAAGUAGCGUGAAGGAUGACUGCCCUACGGGUUGUAAACUUCUUUUAUAAAGGAAUAAAGUGCGGCACGUGUGCUUUUUUGUAUGUACUUCAUGAAUAAGGAUCGGCUAACUCCGUGCCAGCAGCCGCGGUAAUACGGAGGAUCCGAGCGUUAUCCGGAUUUAUUGGGUUUAAAGGGCGCGUAGAUGGGUUGUUAAGUCAGUUGUGAAAUGUUGCGGCUCAACCGUAAAAUUGCAAUUGAUACUGGUAGUCUUGAGUACGGUUAAGGUAGGCGGAAUUCGUGGUGUAGCGGUGAAAUGCUUAGAUAUCACGAAGAACUCCGAUUGCGAAGGCAGCUUACUAAACUGCCACUGACAUUGAUGCUCGAAGGUGUGGGUAUCAAACAGGAUUAGAUACCCCUGUAGUC
rnacentral:rRNA from 1 species